UUAGUUUGAUUAAUUUAUUUAAAGGAUAAUUUUUAUAAUAAUAUUAAAUUAUUAUUAAGUGCAUAUUUUAAGUAAUUACUUAUCAUAUGCUAAGCAUGACAUGACAUUUCAUUUGCAUCAUGAAAUAAAAAGUAUUUAUGAUUUAAUUGGUUUUAUUUAUAAUUCCAAUUAUUAAAGAAAGAUGAGUAAGAAUAUUGUUGGUGUUCUUAACUCAAGAGAAAUGUUUUCAAUUAUUUAUUCAUUAAAUUUUGAAAACCCGGCUAAGUGAAUCAUAGAAUAUUAAGCACUUCACCAUGAAUUAAGAUUAGCUUCACGAGACCUAUUAAGAAUAGAAUUUCUUGUAGGCUUUGUGACCAGGGGGAUUAGCGCUGCUUUCCCAAGACAGGUUUAUAAGUGAUUAUGAUCUUCAGGCUUUGCCUAACCAGGUUGGCUGGCCGGUGCUGACGGGACGGAGCUGAGGCUAGAGUUAAAUUCCUAUGUUAGACUUCCGCUGUAGCAAUUACUCAUUUCAGUCUUUUGUUUUUCCAACUUAAGAUCUUCAUGUUAAAUUUCAAAUGAUAUAUUUGACCGAACUUAGAUUCUUCACUACUAAAUUUAUGCCAAUGAAUGUCGGUUGUCAGAAGCAUGAAACAAAACUUAUGAUCCAAAGGGGCAUAGCCCGAGUUUCUAUCCUAUUUCGGGUUUUAACAAGGUA